GCUAGACUUAUUAUUUGACUCUGGUCAGCUACUCAGUCUUUCCCCACCCCUAACCAUUCCCUUUCAGCUCACCCACGCAGGCUUCCUCUAAGCAUACUGAGCUGCCAGGGACGGACAGGGGAGGGGAAUAGAGAGCAUAAUUGCUUUCUUUACUCAGCUUGUAGACAGGCAGACAGUUUAGGCAGAGAGACACAGAAGAACACUUGGAGAGAUUGAGAGGAGGCACAAAAUAAAGAAAGAGAUAAGUAAGAUAAAAGGGAAACAAAUCACCAACAGCAAAAAAAAUGGAUCCCAACAAGAUGCCAAACGCCCCACCACCAGGCUGGAACCCAGAUGAGAAGUCUGGGAUGGGACAACCAGCUCCUCCACCCUACCAGGACCACCCCAACGCAGGAUACCCCGCACCAGCAGGCUACCCUCCCAAUCCCCAGGGCUACGCACCACCGCCACAGUAUGGAGGAGCUCCCGGGGCCCCUUACAGCCAGCCAUACCCCCAGGGACAGUACUCCCCGGGACACUACCCCCAGUCCACCGUCACAGUCCAGCCUACGGUGUUUGUGACCCGUGGAGCUCUGCCUUACCCUCUGCCAGACUACCUUGGCUACUCCAUUUUCACCAUGCUGUGCUGCUGCCUGCCACUUGGCAUCGCUGCACUUAUCUACUCCAUCUCGACUAGAGACGCCAACAACCAGGGUCAUCAGCAGAUUGCUGAGAAGAAUUCUCGUCUAGCGCGGAUACUGAACCACACCGCUCUGGGUAUCGGCAUCACCGUCAUCGUCCUGUACAUCGUCUCUGCCAUCAUCCUGGGCAACCGUAUCAACUGAUCUGACACCUCAACACCGGCUAGCACCACAGCCACCGCUUCUCUCAACCCCAGCACCCAAAAUCAUCAUAACCUUGACCACAUACAAUAGGUGACAGGCACUUUCCAAAGAGAUACAUCCCACUGGGGACAAACUGGUUGAAUCAACGUUGUUUCCACGUCAUUUCAAUGAAAUGGCGUUGAACCAACGUGGAAUAUAAGUUGAAUUGAUGCCUGUGCCCUGUGGGAUAUAUCAUAAUGCUGUUUAUUCAUCAAUGUUUAUGACAUACAUUUUGAAAACUACAUCUAAUGACUUACUUUUUUUAAUACCGGCAGACCGGAUAGUUUAAAUCAUUCAUUAUUUUGCCUGUUUAAUUGUAUAUGUAAUAUACAUAAAUAAACACCAAAUUAUGGACACAAAUUGUAUUUUGGAAUAUUUCUAAUACAUUUCUGAAGGAUAGUGUAUGUACAUUCAGUGUUUAUGGAUAAGUCAUAUCAGAGUUUAAAGACCGAUUUGACAAUGUUAUGAGAAUGCAGCAGAAAGAGACUAUUCUUAAAGUCUGAAAUGACAUGUAUUACUGGUUGUCAUUACACAGAGUGCCAGUGAGGUUACCACUCACAAGAGUAAACAUUUUACAACUCAAUGUCAAAUAUUUACUUAUUGUUACACAAAUAUAUCAAUUUGCUCAAUUCAGUGUUGUGGGCUAUCAGUAAUGACACAAGAAAGACUCAACUCAACUUAUUUUGGUCAACCGUGGUGACUAAUGCCUAGAUUCAAUUUGUAGAGCAGAAGAUCUGCUGAAAUGUAAAGGUCAUUUCCGUUUGAGUCGACAUAUGCAGCGUUUACCGUGAACGCAGUCUCUCUGCAGUCACAGGAACAUUGCCUUCCACGCUACGGAUUGAAUCUAGCCCUAGAAGUCCAAAUAAAUUGCAGGGCUGUUCCAGUUUGGCCUUACAGUUGAUUCAUUUGGUAAAAAUGUCCACACUAUCAAUGUCAUUUAGAGUCACAUAUUGCCAGAUUAUGUAUAACACUGUAUAUGUUAGGUAUAUAUUUUAUUUGACUAUGUAUUCAGUGUUGCUAAACUCUUCUAUUUACCAAGGGGUUGUACUUUAUCCUUCUCUAAGUGUGUAGUUGAUGGAAAUAGUGUUUACCUUGUAUCAUGUCUGUAUGUUUGUGAAAACACAAAGGAAGAGACCAUUAUAAGAAUGCAGAUAUUUAAACCAAAUUUGUUUUAAAAUACGGUUCAGUGUAAAUAAAAAUCACACACUGACUUCAGAAACUUUUAGAUCAAACGGCCUUUUGACUGGUGGCAGGGUACAACUAAUAAUCCUAGAGCAGGUUUUCAUCAAGGAUAUCUCUGUACUUUGCUCCAUUCAUCUUUCCCUCGAUCCUGGCUAGUCUCUCAGUCCCUGCCGCUGAAAAACAUGCCCACAGCAUGAUGCUUAAGGUCUUAAGGUGCCUUUUGGCAAACUCCAAGCGGGCUAGUUUAAAUCAUUCAUUAUUUUGCCUGUUUAAUUGUAUAUGUAAUAUACAUAAAUAAACACCAAAUUAUGGACACAAAUUGUAUUUUGGAAUAUUUCUAAUACAUUUCUGAAGGAUAGUGUAUGUACAUUCAGUGUGUAUGGAUAAGUCAUAUCAGAGUUUAAAGACACAUUUGACAAUGUUAUGAGAAUGCAGCAGAAAGAGACUAUUCUUAAAGUCUGAAAUGACAUGUAUUACUGGUUGUCAUUACACAGAGUGCCAGUGAGGUUACCACUCACAAGAGUAAACAUUUUACAACUCAAUGUCAAAUAUUUACUUCUUGUUACACGUGUAUCAAUUUCCUCAAUUCAGUGUUCUUUGCUGUCGGCAAUGACACAAGCAAUAUCUAAUUCAACUUAUUUCUGACAACUGUGGAGACUAAGGCCUACAUCCAAUCUGUAGCAUGGAAGGUCCGUUGUAUAGCACAAUUGAAAUUUAAAGGUCAUUUCCAAUUGAGUCAACAUAUGCAACAUUUACCGUGAAUGCAGUCUCCUCGAACACAGGAACAUUUCUUUUUUCCUUUUGGUACGGAUUGAAUCUAGCUCUUAGUAAGAGAUAGAUAUCUGCUAGCCAACUAGCUCUGUUUAGCUUAGCAUUUUAGCUGUCCAUAACUGUCCAUUUUUUAAAUUUCACCUUAACAUUUCAACAAAACAAAUGUUAGCUGACAUACUUGUAGUCUAUUAAUUGAACUUAAGUAGCUAAGAGGUUGCUAAAUGCUCAUCAAGCUAGCCUGCUCUGAUUAGCUUAGCAUGUUGCUGCUAGCUUGUUACAAUUUACUCUUUGCUUCAAGUCUAAGAGAUGUUGUCACAUUUGUCUGACUACUGUAUCACAAUAUUUUUUUCAAAACGUUACAACUUUUAACUCCAAGUUUUAUUUACAAGAUGCUCAGUUCAAACCUCCGCUAUGAUUUCAAGUUGUGCAUCUGUUAAACUCUGCCCAUUGACCUUUUAGAAACCAAUCGGAUUUGUUCUUCCCUAAACCAAUCAGAUUCUUUCUGCCCUUAGAACAAAGUUGACUACACGUUGACAACCUUCUCUUCAAUCACAGAGAAGAGCAGAAAUCUGUUGAUAGUGUAAAUCAAUAGUAGUCCUGUGUGGCUAAAUUGGUAGAGCAUGGCGCUUGCAAUGCCAGGGUUCUGGGUUUCAUUCCCACCGGGGACCUGUACGAAGUCACUCUGGAUAAGAUUGUCUGCUAAAUGACCCCAAAAAAUAUAGAAAUGCUCCCUGGGUCACUCAAUGGAUGGCCCAUUCACCAGUAUUUCUGUACUGUCACUGAGAAGACCCUUUAUGUCGCAGAGUUUAGAAAGACAGACUCCCACAACGAUCUGAUUAUGUUUGUCUUGGAAUUUUGUCACAUAUCACCCAUCUCACAUCCUGCUCCUCCCUCUCCAUGAGGUCACACACCAGUUAUAUAUCCUCCACAAAAAAACUAUUCAUGAAAUGUUCACUUUGUAGUCCGAUUGCACUCAACACAUUGCUUAGAACAUAUUGCAGAUACAGUAUUUUAUAUUUUAUAAAACACUAGAAUAACCAGUUAAUUGUUCAGAAUAUUUUAUUUAGGUUUUAGUUGGUAUUGAAUGUAAUGUGGUUUUCAAGGAGCCUGACCCGACAGAUUAUAUUAUGAUGAGUCAUAUCGACAAUAUGCUGCAGUGCUGAUAUAGGCCCAUGGGGAAAUUAGUAUUACGUGGGUAAGUGAGUGGAAUCAAGCUUCCAGUAGGUUUCUGGGGCCUCAUUUAUAAACCGUGCAUAUAUACAAAAUAUACCCCAAAAUGUGCAUGUGCAAGUUUUAUUUUAAAAAAGUACUUGACGUGAGAAUGUACUCACCUCCCUGCAAACUUCAGACCAUGCAUACUUACAUCUGCUAGUGGUUGAAAUAUUGUAUUGCAAGCUUGCAAGUGAGUACUUUGUGCGAAUGGGGGAUAUGAUGAAAAUAAAACAAAUUUAAGAGGAAAACAUAUUAACAAGAACACAACUAUUUGCCAUCAGUGAGAAGAGCAAAAAUAUGUUUUAUUUUCAGAAUCUAAAAUAGUUAGACAUUAUCUUAUAAUUAGACAAAGGAAUAUUUUUCCUAUUUAUUUUAUUUUCAUAACCAUUGCAGAAUAUACAGUGUUCCAGAAUACACAGUAUUCCAGAAAAUACAAUAAUUCUAACCUUUUCUGGCUGUGAUGGUUUCAUAUUCCAUACAACAAAUUACAAAGCACAUCUCUCAUGUAAUUGUGCAUAGUAGCCUAGUAAAUGGAUAGGCUAUAUGUAUUUCAAGUUUUGCAAUAUCAUGGAAAGCAGAGCAUACAGACAGACAGAUGGGAUGGAGGAAAUCUUGUGAACCUCAAGGAAAUGGAAGAAAACCAUUUGGUGGAGUGCCCAGAUAAUUAUUCAAGACACGCAAAUACACAAACCCCCAGAAAUACAACAACUGUCCAGUGCUAAGAGAGCCAACAAGCCCUUCUCCUCCAACUAGCCGUGUGGAAACAAUUAUGAUCCAGCUGCCAGUAAUCAGGAGGAGGGUUUACAAUAGCAGGCAGGCCUUCUCACGCCACACUACCCUAAAUUAACACAGAACCUCUCUGCCUAAAGCCUUCUGUCAACCCUCGCCCUGCUGUGGAAGCCAACUCAAUAAUUUCACCAGAGAACAGAAACAGAUUGAGGCUAUGUUAACAACGUCAUGUGACUAGGGGGAGGUUGAUUCAAUUGAGACUUAAAUUAAAUUGAGUCAGUCACUGUUGAGUGGGAGAGAUCUUAUAGGGGGGUGUGAGGUCAUGUUGUUAUUCUUUAAACAUAGACUAAGGUGUCAGAAACACUACAUUUAUUUCACUAUGAGAAUUUUAGCUUCUGCUGCUUACCCAAUAAUGCUUUGAGUGGGAAUUUUGGUGCCUGUUGUUUGUGUUUUACAGCCACUUCACGUUUGGCACAAGACUCUUCCUGACUUGGUGAAAGAAAGUAAUCCAAGACACACAUAUACUGUUCAACUUUUUCUUACAGCUUUACUGUUGCUUAGUGUGUGACUCAUACUGACUCUUGUAGUCAGCUGCUCAGAGAUGUCUAUAGUGUAAGGAGAGUCACGGACACUGAGACUUCAGUUAGUUGACUCAAUGUUUAGCAUCGCCUGUCAACUCUUGUUCUUCCCCCAAGAGAAAUAAUAACAGGUGUCAAAAUAUGUAUUACAAUAUAGCAUCAUUCUUAAGACUGUAGCUAGGGGAGAGAGCUCCAGGUUUGUGCUCCAUCCACAGUUGUUUCAACUUAGUGCUGCUUGGGGUGUGGCCACAGGAAAUCAGUAUUUUAGUUGUUUUUCAUCACUAGUAGGUAUUAAUAUUAUAUAUUAUAAAUGCUCUGCAGUGAGAGAGAAAAAUGUCCCUAUUUGUUUUUUAUUUUCUGACUUUGUUAGCAUGUUGGCUGAGUAUUGUGUUUGUGAAUUAAUACUGCAUCUCCUGAAAUAACUCCAAUCGAAUAAGAGCAUGGUGGCACUGAAUCAUCAUUGAACUCUCUCCGUUGAAGUCUCUUCCUCUUUUUCCUGAAUGACGAUUACAACAAUUACAACUCUCUCUCACUAUCUCCCUCUAUCCCUCUGUCCUUCUAUCCUUCUGUGCUCCCUCCCUCCUCCCUCCCUCCCUCCCUCCCUCCCUCCCUCCCUCCCUCCCUCCCUCUCUGCUCUCAGACUAGAGACGCCAACAACCAGGGUCAUCAGCAGAUUGCUGAGAAGAAUUCUCGUCUAGCGCGGAUACUGAACCACACCGCUCUGGGUAUCGGCAUCACCGUCAUCGUCCUGUACAUCGUCUCUGCCAUCAUCCUGGGCAACCGUAUCGACUGAUCUGACACCUCAACACCGGCUAGCACCACAGCCACCGCUUCUCUCAACCCCAGCACCCAAAAUCAUCAUAACCUUGACCACAUACAAUAGGUGACAGGCACUUUCCAAAGAGAUACAUCCCACUGGGGACACACUGGUUGAAUCAACGUUGUUUCCACGUCAUUUCAAUGAAAUGGCGUUGAACCAACGUGGAAUAUACGUUGAAUUGAUGCCUGUGCCCUGUGGGAUAUAUCAUAAUGCUGUUUAUUCAUCAAUGUUUAUGACAUACAUUUUGAAAAACUACAUCUAAUGACUUACUUUUUUUUAAUACCGGCAGACCGGAUAGUUUAAAUCAUUCAUUAUUUUGCCUGUUUAAUUGUAUAUGUAAUAUACAUAAAUAAACACCAAAUUAUGGACACAAAUUGUAUUUUGGAAUAUUUCUAAUACAUUUCUGAAGGAUAGUGUAUGUACAUUCAGUGUUUAUGGAUAAGUCAUAUCAGAGUUUAAAGACCGAUUUGACAAUGUUAUGAGAAUGCAGCAGAAAGAGACUAUUCUUAAAGUCUGAAAUGACAUGUAUUACUGGUUGUCAUUACACAGAGUGCCAGUGAGGUUACCACUCACAAGAGUAAACAUUUUACAACUCAAUGUCAAAUAUUUACUUCUUGUUACACGUGUAACAAUUUCCUCAAUUCAGUGUUCUUUGCUGUCGGCAAUGACACAAGCAAUAUCUAAUUCAACUUAUUUCUGACAACUGUGGAGACUAAGGCCUACAUUCAAUCUGUAGCAUGGAAGGUCCGUUGUAUAGCACGAUUGAAAUUUAAAGGUAAUUUCCGAUUGACUCAACAUAUCCAACAUUUACCGUGAAUGCAGUCUCCUCGAACGCAGGAACAUUUCUUUUUUUCCUUUUGGUACGGAUUGAAUCUAGCUCUAGAAGUCAAAAGGAAUUGCCACACUGUUCCUGUUUGGCCUUUCAGUUGAUUCAUUUGAUAAAAAUGUCCCCACUAUCAAUGUCAUUUAUAGUCACAUAUUGUCAGAUUAUGUAUAACGC
ensembl:lncRNA